rnacentral:lncRNA from 1 species
GAUAUUUUCAGUCCACAUCCUUUAGGCUGAGAAUUUUAGAACUUAAUGGGCAGGACGCGGGAAAUUAGCUCCUCAUUGUUCUCUUGCUGGACACAAUGAACCACUCCAUUUUCUCAGCUUUUCUGUCCUUUGUGUGCUAAGCUCAGAACAUAGCAGAUAGCAGGAUCAAGGAACUGAUUGCCACAGUGGUUUUCGCCUGCUUCACCUGCCCCAUAUUAUUGAUGACACCACUAUGGACAGAAGCGAAGGAAUUUGGACUUCAGCUUGAGUGUGGUGAGGAAUGAGAAGUUCUAGGCAGUUUAGGUGGACGUUAAUGAAUACGAAACGAGUGGAAAUAUUCUCUCUUCGCAAUCAGUAACCGCAGUGAAUAGCUACUGCAGCGUUGGGGCGAUCCCACUUAACUGAGCCAUCGGUAGCCAGGCAUGUUGAGCUCGGCACAACAUGCAAGGCUGCUUGAACCUGGCUCGGCUGUAGGUCACAGGUGACUCUUCUGCUGCUUCCAUUCUGCUAUUCUACUGCGAUUGAUUCUCCUGCAGCCGGAUUGAAAGCCAGUUAUGCAUGGUAGUUGACCUUUUGCAUGCUAUAGUGCAUUCUCCUCAAUGUGCUCCUGGUACUACUUACCCUCACUGACCACCAAGUACAUGGCAAGGAAAAGAAUACCUAGCACAGUCAACCUGUUUCCGACACAAAUGGCUGAGGAUUCAGUGCCAGGACCAAACGUACAUCUUGAUUUAGCAGCCUGCCUGAUUUGUCUCUCAUCCUUGCUCAUCACUUUACUUCUCUGUGGAUUUCGCUGCCGCAGGUCAAAAAAGAUGGUCGUGCAACCCAGUGGACAUGUUGAAGAUAAAGCUGAGCAACUGGAAGAUAAUGAUAUUCCAGACGAUCCCACAUACACAGUCAUCCAGGAAAACUAUUUUGAAGAAGCGAAAGCACCAGACCUGGAGGUUCACACCAAUGUUCUCUACGAGUCUGUAGACAUGUUGCAACCAUCAAAUAGUGACAGACCAUUUGUCAGCACUGACAAGUGUAUCUACUCAACUGUUACUCCAGUCUGUACUACAGAAGUGGUGAAAGACAAUCAGAUGGCCCUUUAUGCGACCGUGAACAAGGUACAAAGGCAAGAAACACAGGAAGAGCAACAAAGAAAAGAUGCACAAGAAAUGGAGAACAGCAACUGUCAAUAUGAAACCAUACCAAAUGAAAUAAUCACUCAACUGACAUCAUAAAAUGCAAUUGUGAAAAAUGACUUGUUGAUGCAAAAUUGAUUUGAGCAAAAGUUGGUGUAAGACAAUAGACUGAAGAUAUUGAUGUUUGGACAAUGAAUGUACUACUAAAUGUGAGCAUUCUCCUAAUCGUGUUGGCAUAAUGGCGUGUUUUGAGUCAAUAUACUAAAUUUAGGCCUCGACUUAUUGUAAAAAAUUUAAUCUAACAAAUUAUCUGAAGUUUUACUUGCAAUCUCCAUAUUGUCUGGCCAGCAAGCAACUCCUGGUUUGUUUUAUGUACUUUAUUCGAAGAGUAUAACUGUGUUGUGCGAUUUAAGUUAGUUAUUAUGAAAGCUGUGGAUAAAGCUAAGAUAAUUAUGGAAUAAAUAAGAGGUACAGUACUUUAAAAAACAAAUUUUGUAUCACUGAUAUUAUGGGUCAAGCAACUUUUUUCUCUUUCUCUUUCUCUUUCUAUUGCUUGCAGCACUGCAGUCUGAAGGAGAAAGAACUAUUUUUGUUGUUAAAAAUAAACACAAUUUUUUCUAGUUAUUUUAACACUGAAAUGCUAAUAGGAUACAUUGAGGGCGAAAAAGAUACCAACAGAGGCUGAAAUGUCAUACCUCGCAACUACGAUUAUGAAUUUAGAUUACGAGAAACACCCGCACCCUUCGGAAGCAGCUUGAGGGGGAAAGAUGAGGGAAUAGUGGGCAGUGGGGGGGGGGAUAUAUUUUGUGUUGUGGCUAAUAAUCCCUCCUGUCUGCAGUGGGGUCAGUAAACCACUUGUACUGUGGCACAUGUACAGGCGAAAAGCGUAAGUCGUCUCGUUGCGAGGGGGGGGGUUGUGAUUUUCUUUGUGCUCAUGACCUGACCAUGGGUAUGACCGACGCUUAUGCAAAACUUGGUGGAAAUCGGCCCAGUCCUGUUUAUUUCUAUGAUUUCCAGACGUACACACAUACAGAGAAUUGUCUUUUUCAUAUCGUGGGGUUAUAAUUUAGCCCCAGCAUCAGCCCAUCAGGUUUGAAUAAUAAUUUUCAUCUAAAUCCCAAAAUAAUUUACAUACAUAAGAAGGAAAACAAUUAUUGUGUUAAAAUAGAAAAGUGCUCAAUAGCAAUAGAAAAGUGAGCAAUAUGUAGGCCUACUCUGACAAAUAUUUUUUAUACAUAGUCGAGGCUCAUGGAAGAGCUAGAAUAAGUACACUGAACGUAUCAGGACCCAACAAAAGGAACAGUUGAGAGAAGGGGGAAACACCAAUAGCAGAGUUGAAGGCCAAUAUUGAAGCAGACUUGGACAAACAAUGGGUGUGGGUAGGAAUUGUCAUGAUCUGGGGGAUCUGACAUGAUCACAGAGAUCCAAUUGACUUUCCCAGGGUAAAUGCACCUGAAUAGAUCCCGGGGUAAAUGCAGGAUUCUCACAGCAUCUAAAUUUGAGAGUAUAGUCCAGUGGUUAGCCUGCAAGCUGAAGUUAAAGUGGUGACCAUUCUCACCAAAGACAUCUUCAUGUUCAUCAAGUUAAAUCAGCAUCCAGUGUAUCUGGUUUAACAGCGAUUUUCCUUGCAGCAGAGCACUUACAAUCACUCUGUCAUGCUGUUAAAUUGCGUGGCCAUUAUAUUGAUGCUAAUGUAAUUGUUAAUAGCCAAUAAACACCAAGCUGCUUUCAGUUAUUUAUGAUCAUUUGUUGUUUAUCCAAUCACUGGAGCUAAUUUAAUAAGUGCAACACAGACAGACACAGAACAGAUUCCACUUACCAGUAAACAAAUUUAUAGGGAUCUUGAUCCACAUGAGCAUGAGCCAGCUGCCAUAACCGCUAUGACGAGGACACCAGACAUGAAGUGUUCUCACAAGCAUCUUUUGGGUCUAGCUCUUGGGAAAGGGCUGGGUGAUUCAGUAUAAAAGAUAGGCAGGCAAUGCAUCAAUGGAAUGAAUAUCACUGCUGUAUCUCUGAAAACAAGUGAGUAAUCUAAAACUGUGGGGCAUGGCUAUGUCACACGGUAAUAAUUGGCCCAACAUCAGAUGGGCGCUAAUGGUUGCCAGUUUAACUUGGCCUUUAUGACUAAGAUUGCUCAAUGUACCCACUUAAUGUCACUCAAAGCACAUGUGUGCACAGGAGAAAGAACAGAGCUGGAAAGGUUACAAAAAUAAAUUGACUUAUGAAACUACACAACCAUAAAAGCAAUUCCCGUCGUGCCAUUCAAUUCACACAUCAUUCAUGCAUGAGUACUUCCUGCAAACUUGUGCCACUUAUGCAUCUUAACAACUACAAAUUUACACAAGUUAUAUUGGUGUACGAAAUUCAACAGAUUAUAAUCCCUUCAUCCCAUUAUAACAAGUAACCAAAAUGAGAAUUUGGCUUUUCACUCAAAUCUCUGUGCAGAUAUAUGUUGUUGUGCAAAUGGCUCCAAGGGGUUAAUAUGGCUUGGAAUAGAGCAGUUAUUUCCUUCAAGUGAAUGUCCAGCAUAAGUGUAAAGUAAUUAAUUGUGAUUUAGAUGUUCAUCGCUUUUAAGUAUGCAUGAUAUUAGAUAUGCAUCUAGUUUGUUGUCAUCUACCCAUCCCUAUGUCUGUAUCUAAAAUUAUCAACCCGUUUGACCCAAUUAUUAUCGUUCUGCCCUCUGUAAUGGACCAAGAGACAAUUUGACAGCUGCCAAUGGACUCGGUUCUUGUUCAUGGCUCGUGCCAUCUCCAAGAACUCUGUUGGGUUUGCCGGAAUACUGUAUUGUUUCGUCCUAUCAAUUUUGUCUUUCUAUCGUGGAGUGUCUGAGGCCUUAAGGCAAAGGCUAAGUAAAAAUCUUCUGAUCAUACAUUGUUUUGUGGGCACGUAUGUGUGGUAGUGGGUAAAAGGUUUUUUUUUAAUUGUUUCACCAUUUAUUGUUAUUACUUCCUUGUGUUUCCUUCCCUCAUUUCAUUUGCAUUAUUAAAUACAUCUGGUCUCAGGGGUGAAUUCUGCUUGUCGUGGAUCUCCUGAGAUGAUUAGGGAAGGCCCGUUAAGGGACUAAUUUGAUGUGAUGAGUUAAUGCC